rfam:Operophtera brumata OBRT01_Sc00594, whole genome shotgun sequence.
AUCGCUUCUCGGCCUUUUGGCUAAGAUCAAAGUGUAGUAUCUGUUCUUUUCAGCUUAAUAUCUGAAAGUUCCCUCACUGAGGGACCAGUAUACUGCCGUCCGAUUAUUA